GUUAAGCGACUAAGCGUACACGGUGGAUGCCCUGGCAGUCAGAGGCGAUGAAGGACGUGCUAAUCUGCGAUAAGCGUCGGUGAGGUGAUAUGAACCGUUAUAACCGGCGAUUUCCGAAUGGGGAAACCCAGUGUGUUUCGACACACUAUCAUUAACUGAAUCCAUAGGUUAAUGAGGCGAACCGGGGGAACUGAAACAUCUAAGUACCCCGAGGAAAAGAAAUCAACCGAGAUUCCCCCAGUAGCGGCGAGCGAACGGGGAGGAGCCCAGAGUCUGAAUCAGUGUGUGUGUUAGUGGAAGCGUCUGGAAAGGCGCGCGAUACAGGGUGACAGCCCCGUACACAAAAAUGCACAUAUUGUGAGCUCGAUGAGUAGGGCGGGACACGUGGUAUCCUGUCUGAAUAUGGGGGGACCAUCCUCCAAGGCUAAAUACUCCUGACUGACCGAUAGUGAACCAGUACCGUGAGGGAAAGGCGAAAAGAACCCCGGCGAGGGGAGUGAAAAAGAACCUGAAACCGUGUACGUACAAGCAGUGGGAGCCUCUUAAUGGGGUGACUGCGUACCUUUUGUAUAAUGGGUCAGCGACUUAUAUUCUGUAGCAAGGUUAACCGAAUAGGGGAGCCGAAGGGAAACCGAGUCUUAACUGGGCGUUAAGUUGCAGGGUAUAGACCCGAAACCCGGUGAUCUAGCCAUGGGCAGGUUGAAGGUUGGGUAACACUAACUGGAGGACCGAACCGACUAAUGUUGAAAAAUUAGCGGAUGACUUGUGGCUGGGGGUGAAAGGCCAAUCAAACCGGGAGAUAGCUGGUUCUCCCCGAAAGCUAUUUAGGUAGCGCCUCGUGAAUUCAUCUCCGGGGGUAGAGCACUGUUUCGGCAAGGGGGUCAUCCCGACUUACCAACCCGAUGCAAACUGCGAAUACCGGAGAAUGUUAUCACGGGAGACACACGGCGGGUGCUAACGUCCGUCGUGAAGAGGGAAACAACCCAGACCGCCAGCUAAGGUCCCAAAGUCAUGGUUAAGUGGGAAACGAUGUGGGAAGGCCCAGACAGCCAGGAUGUUGGCUUAGAAGCAGCCAUCAUUUAAAGAAAGCGUAAUAGCUCACUGGUCGAGUCGGCCUGCGCGGAAGAUGUAACGGGGCUAAACCAUGCACCGAAGCUGCGGCAGCGACACUAUGUGUUGUUGGGUAGGGGAGCGUUCUGUAAGCCUGUGAAGGUGUGCUGUGAGGCAUGCUGGAGGUAUCAGAAGUGCGAAUGCUGACAUAAGUAACGAUAAAGCGGGUGAAAAGCCCGCUCGCCGGAAGACCAAGGGUUCCUGUCCAACGUUAAUCGGGGCAGGGUGAGUCGACCCCUAAGGCGAGGCCGAAAGGCGUAGUCGAUGGGAAACAGGUUAAUAUUCCUGUACUUGGUGUUACUGCGAAGGGGGGACGGAGAAGGCUAUGUUGGCCGGGCGACGGUUGUCCCGGUUUAAGCGUGUAGGCUGGUUUUCCAGGCAAAUCCGGAAAACCAAGGCUGAGGCGUGAUGACGAGGCACUACGGUGCUGAAGCGACAAAUGCCCUGCUUCCAGGAAAAGCCUCUAAGCAUCAGGUAACAUCAAAUCGUACCCCAAACCGACACAGGUGGUCAGGUAGAGAAUACCAAGGCGCUUGAGAGAACUCGGGUGAAGGAACUAGGCAAAAUGGUGCCGUAACUUCGGGAGAAGGCACGCUGAUAUGUAGGUGAAGCGACUUGCUCGUGGAGCUGAAAUCAGUCGAAGAUACCAGCUGGCUGCAACUGUUUAUUAAAAACACAGCACUGUGCAAACACGAAAGUGGACGUAUACGGUGUGACGCCUGCCCGGUGCCGGAAGGUUAAUUGAUGGGGUUAGCGGUAACGCGAAGCUCUUGAUCGAAGCCCCGGUAAACGGCGGCCGUAACUAUAACGGUCCUAAGGUAGCGAAAUUCCUUGUCGGGUAAGUUCCGACCUGCACGAAUGGCGUAAUGAUGGCCAGGCUGUCUCCACCCGAGACUCAGUGAAAUUGAACUCGCUGUGAAGAUGCAGUGUACCCGCGGCAAGACGGAAAGACCCCGUGAACCUUUACUAUAGCUUGACACUGAACAUUGAGCCUUGAUGUGUAGGAUAGGUGGGAGGCUUUGAAGUGUGGACGCCAGUCUGCAUGGAGCCGACCUUGAAAUACCACCCUUUAAUGUUUGAUGUUCUAACGUGGGCCCCUAAUCGGGGUUGCGGACAGUGUCUGGUGGGUAGUUUGACUGGGGCGGUCUCCUCCUAAAGAGUAACGGAGGAGCACGAAGGUUGGCUAAUCCUGGUCGGACAUCAGGAGGUUAGUGCAAUGGCAUAAGCCAGCUUGACUGCGAGCGUGACGGCGCGAGCAGGUGCGAAAGCAGGUCAUAGUGAUCCGGUGGUUCUGAAUGGAAGGGCCAUCGCUCAACGGAUAAAAGGUACUCCGGGGAUAACAGGCUGAUACCGCCCAAGAGUUCAUAUCGACGGCGGUGUUUGGCACCUCGAUGUCGGCUCAUCACAUCCUGGGGCUGAAGUAGGUCCCAAGGGUAUGGCUGUUCGCCAUUUAAAGUGGUACGCGAGCUGGGUUUAGAACGUCGUGAGACAGUUCGGUCCCUAUCUGCCGUGGGCGCUGGAGAACUGAGGGGGGCUGCUCCUAGUACGAGAGGACCGGAGUGGACGCAUCACUGGUGUUCGGGUUGUCAUGCCAAUGGCACUGCCCGGUAGCUAAAUGCGGAAGAGAUAAGUGCUGAAAGCAUCUAAGCACGAAACUUGCCCCGAGAUGAGUUCUCCCUGACUCCUUGAGAGUCCUGAAGGAACGUUGAAGACGACGACGUUGAUAGGCCGGGUGUGUAAGCGCAGCGAUGCGUUGAGCUAACCGGUACUAAUGAACCGUGAGGCUUAACCUUACAACGCCGAAG
rnacentral:rRNA from 1 species